UGGUCCAGUGGCUAGGACUCUGCACUCUCAAUUCAGGGGGCCCAGGUUUGAUUCCUGG
rnacentral:tRNA from 1 species